AACGCGAAGAACCUUACCUGGACUUGACAUCCCCCUGAAUGCAGCGUAAUGGCUGCAGGCCUUCGGGACAGGGGAGACAGGUGGUGCAUGGUUGUCGUCAGCUCGUGUCGUGAGAUGUUGGGUUAAGUCCCGCAACGAGCGCAACCCUUAUCCUUAGUAGCCAGCGGUUCGGCCGGGCACUCUAGAGAGACUGCCGGGGAUAACCCGGAGGAAGGCGGGGAUGACGUCAAAUCAUCAUGCCCCUUAUGGCCAGGGCAACACACGUGCUACAAUGGCGUAAACAAAGGGAAGCGAAGUGGCGACACGGAGCAAAUCCCAAAAAUAACGUCUCAGUUCGGAUUGUAGUCUGCAACCCGACUACAUGAAGCCGGAAUCGCUAGUAAUCGCGGAUCAGAAUGCCGCGGUGAAUACGUUCCCGGGUCUUGUACACACCG
rnacentral:rRNA from 1 species